rnacentral:rRNA from 1 species
UACGUAGGGGGCUAGCGUUGUCCGGAAUCAUUGGGCGUAAAGCGCGCGUAGGCGGCCCGGUAAGUCCGCUGUAAAGUCAAAGGCUCAACCUUUGAAUGUCAGUGGAUACUGCCGGGCUAGAGUCCGGAAGAGGCGAGUGGAACUCCUGGUGUAGCGGUGGAAUGCGCAGAUAUCAGGAAGAACACCGACGGCGAAGGCAGCUCGCUGGGACGGUACUGACGCUGAGGCGCGAAAGCGUGGGGAGCGAACAGG